UACGAAGGGGGCUAGCGUUGUUCGGAAUCACUGGGCGUAAAGGGCGCGUAGGCGGCUUUAUAAGUCGGGGGUGAAAGCCUGUGGCUCAACCACAGAAUUGCCUUCGAUACUGUAGAGCUUGAGACCGGAAGAGGUAAGUGGAACUGCGAGUGUAGAGGUGAAAUUCGUAGAUAUUCGCAAGAACACCAGUGGCGAAGGCGGCUUACUGGUCAGGUUCUGACGCUGAGGCGCGAAAGCGUGGGAGCAAACAGG
rnacentral:rRNA from 1 species